AAUGUUAAAAAUAGUUUCUGUAAUUUUUUUUUACUUUAUUUGUAAAAUAUUUUGCUUUCCCUUUUAUAACUUUAAUUUUUCUACAGCGGUUGUCUUAUAUAUUCUGAAUAUCCUAUCAUGAUUAAAAUAUUCACCAAUAUAUGUAUUUUUGAAGUUUUAUUUAUGUUUACAUUUAGGAUUUUACCUUAUGUAGAAUGAGGAUAAGUCCAACUUAGUUUUCUUCAAAUGGAUAUCUACUACACCAGCAACAGUUUUUCUUCUUUUAUUUCAUGUGUAAAUUUGAGUUUAUUAAAUCAAUCAGUAGUACUACAACUACAGAAGUAAAUACAUAUUUACAACUUAAAGCUUGGUUCACUUUAUUUUUUAAAUUGAUACAUAAAGACAUAAAAUUGUACAUGUUAGUGGGGUACUUUAUAACGCUCAAUGCAUGUAUAUAUUUUGUAUUAUUCAAAUAAAAUUUAAUGUUCGUAGUAGCUCAAACUUGUAUUCUUUCUCUGUUGUUAAAACAUUUACAAUCCUUUCUUUUAGUUUUCAAAAAUGUACAGUACAUGUAGCUAUAAUCACCAGACUGCACCAGCAACCUAUUUAUGUUAAUCAUUGUUUCCCACCCAAUAGAAGCAUCAUCUUUGCCAUCCAUUAAAUUACUUCCACUCUUGACUUUGUUUCUUAGCUCUCUAUACUUCAAUUGACCUAUUUGUCUAUUUCUAGUUUGAUUAUAAUACCUGUAUAGAUUGUUUUCAUGACUGAAAAGUAACCUGCAAUUUAAUUUUACUUCAAAGUAUUUUUUUGGUUAUUCUCAUGAACUUAAUGUUUUGUAAAAACUUUGGUGCUAUUUUACCCAGUACAAAACAAAGCAUACCACUAAUAAGUAUUUGUUCAAAUUGAAAUCAUUCAUUUGAGGGAUAUUGUAUAUUUAGUAUGAUAGUAAAUCAUUCAAUCUCAAAACUUAUGUAUGAGUUACCCUUUGUUGCAUAAAAAAAUAUCAUCCUAAAUGCAUUGGUUUAAAAUAACAAUGAAUCACUGUUAUCUAUAUAUUUUUAUGAUUCAGGAAUUAGGGAAGGGUUUGACUGGAAGGUUCUGUCUUGAGGAUCUUUCAGGAACUUGCAGUCAGAUGAGAAGAUAAUUACAGGGGCCAAGGUUACAUAAAUGCUUCUUUCCUCACAUGUCUGUUUGAUGCCUAGGCUGGGAAGGACUACCAAUGUAACAUUGCAAGAUGAGAUAUAUAUUGUUGCAGCCAUCAUUGGAAAUGACCAUUGCCUACAACAUGGUAUAUCUUUAAUUUAUACUGUCAUUUUUUAUAGGCUUUAGCAUGAUUUAAUGAUUUCAUUUUUAUGUGUCCU
rnacentral:lncRNA from 1 species